rnacentral:rRNA from 1 species
AAUCGCGGAUCAGAAUGCCGCGGUGAAUACGUUCCCGGGUCUUGUACACACCGCCCGUCACACCAUGGGAGUCGGAAAUGCCCGAAGUCUGUGACCCAACCGUAAGGAGGGAGCAGCCGAAGGCAGGUCGGAUGACUGGGGUGAAGUCGUAACAAGGUAAC